rnacentral:rRNA from 1 species
UACGUAGGGUGCAAACGUUGCUCGGAAUUACUGGGCGUAAAGUGUGCGCAGGCGGCGUCGCAAGUCGAGUGUGAAAGCCCCGAGCUUAACUUGGGAAUUGCGCUCGAAACUACGAUGCUGGAGUGUGGCAGAGGAAGGUGGAAUUCCACGUGUAGCGGUGAAAUGCGUAGAGAUGUGGAGGAACACCGAUGGCGAAGGCAGCCUUCUGGGCCAACACUGACGCUCAUGCACGAAAGCGUGGGGAGCAAACAGG